CAGCCGCCACGGGAAUACGAAGGGUGCAAGCGUUAAUCGGAAUUACUGGGCGUAAAGCGUGCGUAGGCGGUGAGUUAAGUCUGCUGUGAAAUCCCCGGGCUCAACCUGGGAAUGGCAGUGGAUACUGGCUAGCUAGAGUGUGUUAGAGGAUGGUGGAAUUCCCGGUGUAGCAGUGAAAUGCGUAGAGAUCGGGAGGAACAUCAGUGGCGAAGGCGACCAUCUGGGACAACACUGACGCUGAGGCACGAAAGCGUGGGGAGCAAACAGGAUUAGAUACCCCGGUAGUCCCUGUCUCUUAUAA
rnacentral:rRNA from 1 species